AACAUGGUCGAUCAGUAGGCUUGCUUGCUUAAAUCACAGGGGAGAAGGUAGAGAGAGUGACUAGUUCCUAUAUGACACUUGUCUACUAUUCGAGGCACGAUGUGAUACAGAUCCAGGCUUGUUUCCUUUCAUGUUAUUCUUCAACAUCUUACAAGUUAGCCCCUUGAGGCUCUGUUCAUCUUCUUACUGAUAUUUUUGCAUUGCAUUUGCAUCCCACCAUGCAUCAUGUGAUCUAGGAAUUGAUUUGCAAACUUCGAUCACCCAAUUUUCCCUCUCUCCAUUAUCUUUCCCAUAUAAAUAUUAAUUCCACCUUUUUUGUUCUUAACUUGCAGGAGUGUACUGAUUAGUUAGGGCAUUGUCAAAGGAGCACCUGAAUCCCAAAGCGACAAAUAAGAAAGUUAUGAAGGAGACAUCAUCUUUUUUGCCACAGAACCCAGGGCCAGCAGGCACUCAUGCCCCGGAAUUGGAGCCACUAGGUCAGGGAUGUGUACGGCCCCUCUGUUAAAAGACUCAAACCUCAACUCUCACAAAGAAGAGGCAAACUAGAUAUUGCGCUGGGCCAUAUAGUUGAUUACACUUACACCAGUCAAAAAUGUCUUAGCCUCUUAGUUAAAGAGAUUAAUUAGUGUUCAUAUGAUGUAAUAUUCCGAAUAAUUAUGGAGUGACUUCCAAGCUCUCAAAAGAAGUGUGGGAUCUA
rnacentral:lncRNA from 1 species